ACAGCUACACAAAUUAACUUCCUUUUCUUGUUGCCAAUCUACAAUGUAGAAUUGAGACAGAAGAAAAAAAUGCUUGAAGAUGACAUACACAAAACUGAACUAUGUUCUUCUCUGAACUUCAGCUAACUGAACAUACAUACAGAAGCAUACACACAAGCGUGAGUAAAUCCUCUAAGCAGAUCGAGCGGACAGGGUUCAUACCAGAGAAAGAAAUCACCGAAGGUUGAGCUGGUGUCC
rnacentral:lncRNA from 1 species